rnacentral:rRNA from 12 species
GCAGCUGCACCUAAAUUUGAGUGCCCGAUAGCGUCCCAUCCCGGAAUCUAAGCAGGGCCAUGUCUGGUUAGUACUUAGAUGGAAAACCAACUUGGAAAAACAGGGGCCAGUAGCC